rnacentral:rRNA from 1 species
CCUACGGGCGGCUGCAGUGGGGAAUAUUGGACAAUGGGGGGAACCCUGAUCCAGCCAUGCCGCGUGUGUGAAGAAGGCCCUCGGGUUGUAAAGCACUUUCAGUGAGGAAGAACGCCUGGUGGUUAAUACCCAUCAGGAAAGACAGCACUCACAGAAGAAGCACCGGCUAACUCCGUGCCAGCAGCCGCGGUAAUACGGAGGGUGCGAGCGUUAAUCGGAAUUACUGGGCGUAAAGCGCGCGUAGGUGGCUUGAUAAGCCGGUUGUGAAAGCCCCGGGCUCAACCUGGGAACGGCAUCCGGAACUGUCCAGCUAGAGUGCAGGAGAGGAAGGUAGAAUUCCAGGUGUAGCGGUGAAAUGCGUAGAGAUAGGGAGGAAUACCAGUGGCGAAGGCGGCCUUCUGGACUGAAACUGACGCUGAGGUGCGAAAGCGUGGGUAGCAAACAGGAUUAGAUACCCCAGUAGUC